GACAAACGCUGGCGGGGUGCAUGAGGCAUGCAAGUCGAACGGGGUUGAGCGGGCUUGCUCGAUCAACCUAGUGGCGGACGGCUGAGUAACGCGUAGGUGACCUACCCGGAAGUGGGGAAUAACUGCCCGAAAGGGUGGCUAAUACCGCAUGUGGUCGGCGAUUCAGUUCGCCGCCCAAAGCCGCAAGGCGCUUCCGGCGGGGCCUGCGUCCGAUUAGCUAGUUGGUGGGGUAAUGGCUCACCAAGGCGACGAUCGGUAGCUGGUCUGAGAGGAUGAUCAGCCAGACUGGGACUGAGAACGGCCCAGACUCCUACGGGAGGCAGCAGUCGGGAAUUUUGCCCAAUGGGACGAAAGUCUGAGGCAGCAACUCCGCGUGAGGGACGAAGGCCU
rnacentral:rRNA from 1 species